rnacentral:rRNA from 1 species
GACGAACGCUGGCGGCGUGCUUAACACAUGCAAGUCGAACGGAAAGGCCCUGCUUUUGUGGGGUGCUCGAGUGGCGAACGGGUGUGUAACACGUGAGUAACCUGCCCUUGACUUUGGGAUAACUUCAGGAAACUGGGGCUAAUACCGGAUAGGAGCUCCUGCUGCAUGGUGGGGGUUGGAAAGUUUCGGCGGUUGGGGAUGGACUCGCGGCUUAUCAGCUUGUUGGUGGGGUAGAGGCUUACCAAGGCUUUGACGGGUAGCCGGCCUGAGAGGGUGGCCGGCCACAUUGGGACUGAGAUACGGCCCAGACUCCUACGGGAGGCAGCAGUGGGGAAUAUUGCACAAUGGGCGGAAGCCUGAUGCAGCAACGCCGCGUGCGGGAUGACGGCCUUCGGGUUGUAAACCGCUUUCGCCUGUGACGAAGCGUGAGUGACGGUAAUGGGUAAAGAAGCACCGGCUAACUACGUG